rnacentral:lncRNA from 1 species
CUCAAAUUCAAUAGCUGGUUGAUACACCCCUCUUACACCUAACUUAGGAUCGGACCUGACCAGGAGGAACAUGUUAAUAGUGGGGAUGAGUCGUCCUACUGGUAGGCUGCUUACAUCGAUUUUUAUUAUUUUUUACUUGAACAUAUUUCUUAUUUGUGCCUUUUAGGACUAAUAUAUUUGGGUAUGUGCAUGCAGAUAUGGACUUUGAUUUGGACGAGGUGUUGAAGACCCUGCCGAGAGGUGACAAUGGUCUCUCUCCCAUUGACGGUAAACUCUUGAGCUUCCUUUCUUUGUUUUGUGUUCUCAUACUCUUUUGUUUUGCUCGCCUGACGAGCCUUACCUUGCAUGUACAUCGAUGAAAUUUGACCUGGAGGGGACCUUGGACUCCAUGCCCGAGCAAGGGCAUGGAAGUGAUCUUGAGCCAUGUCCCGCCCCCUUAAAGAGGAAAAAGAUGGUGGCCCAAGAGGGAAGUCCUCAGGUAGCAGAAGAGACUCCCCAGCCCUCAGACGAGCCUAUUGAGGUUGCUCCUACUCCUAGGUCGGGCUCUUCCAGUCAUACGCGAGGAGAACGUGAGGGUUCUCUUCCUAUUUUCGUGUUUCCUCCCACCCGGGGUUGUCGGGAGAUGGAGGUACUUAAGUCUUUAGUGACAUCUGCGCGGACUAGGUCGAUUGUAGGACGUAGCGCAGAUGAUAUUGAGAGGGCUACGACGGUCUAUCUCCAGAGGGUACGCUUCUAAUUCUAUAUAUAUGUACAUACACAUUUUUUUAAUGCAUGGUCAUACCACUCGACUCUUAUAUUGUCUUCUUAUGCUUUAGGUGGUGGCGCUUCAGAUCGGGCUUGCCGCAUCGAGUCGUCUCCAGGCCUUAGGGCUGAAGACUUUUGUAGAGGAAAAGAAAAAAGAGUCUCAUCACUACAAGAAGAAGAUAUCUUCCUUGAAGAAAUCUCUUGAGGCGUCAGAGGCUCGAGCCAGCGAGCAGGAGACAGAGAACGACAAUUUGCGGUCUGAGUUGGCUCGUGCUCAGGAGGAGGCGGUUGAGAGGUAUAAGGCCACUGCUGGGUACACUAGGGACUUGGAGGCGUCUGUUGAGGAGUACAAGUCAUCGUCUGAUUAUGCCGGGGCUUUGCGUUCAUACGAGGGGAAGGCGAUGGCAGUGUCCAUCAAACUGACCAAGGAAUGGAUAUCGACCGAUCACCCUUCCAUUAAUCCCUCAUGUUUUGACAAGUUCCUUGCACAGCGCGAGGGAAAGGAGAGUGGGGCGCAGUUAUCUAGGUCACUUGGUCCUUCGUCGUGGGGCGACAGUGGUGGUGUUUCCCCUUUGAGUUGAAGCAUGAUUUAGCAGUAGCACCUUUUGCCAGUUCUCUCAUUUUUAUCUUUUUUUUUGUGUUGCGUUUUAUCUCUACAUGUAGCAUUGUUUCCUACUUGUUCGGGGUGUGGACAAGAGUACAUUACAUGUUUUUUGUGUGAAUGCUAUUUAUUGGCGGUUAUUAAUGUUGAAUCUUGUUUCUCUUAGCGUUAUUUCUUACGUUCAGCUGUUUGAUAGCAUGGGUGAAUGUCAUUUGUCUCGCGUGCGCUAGGCCUUAUCUAAUUUUUUUUUACCUUUCAAGGCUCUCCGCCUAGCCCUUUGGGCUAUGUCGACCGUCAAGGGCAUGGUCUAGCGGUUUAGGGCCUUAACCAAAUUUUUGGUUUCAAUAGCUCUCCGUCUAGCCCCUUGAGCUAUGUCGACCGUCAAG